AUUGAACGCUGGCGGCAUGCCUUACACAUGCAAGUCGAACGGUAACAGGUCUUCGGAUGCUGACGAGUGGCGAACGGGUGAGUAAUACAUCGGAACGUGCCUAGUAGUGGGGGAUAACUACUCGAAAGAGUGGCCAAUACCGCAUGAGAUCUACGGAGGAAAGUAGGGGAUCGCAAGACCUUGUGCUACUAGAGCGGCCGAUUGCAGAUUAGGUAGUUGGUGGGAUAAAAGCUUACCAAGCCGACGAUCUGUAGCUGGUCUGAGAGGACGAUCAGCCACACGGGGACUGGGACACGGCCCAGACUCCUACGGGAGGCAGCAGUGGGGAAUUUUGGACAAUGGGCGAAAGCCUGAUCCAGCAAUGCCGCGUGCAGGAUGAAGGCCUUCGGGUUGUAAACUGCUUUUGUACGGAACGAAAAGCCCCGGGUUAAUACCCUGGGGUCAUGACGGUACCGUAAGAAUAAGCACCGGCUAACUACGUGCCAGCCGCCGCCGUAA
rnacentral:rRNA from 1 species